rnacentral:rRNA from 1 species
CACGUAGGCGGACCGGAAAGUUGGAGGUGAAAUCCCAGGGCUCAACCUUGGAGCUGCCUUCAAAACUAUCGGUCUGGAGUUCGAGAGAGGUGAGUGGAAUUCCGAGUGUAGAGGUGAAAUUCGUAGAUAUUCGGAGGAACACCAGUGGCGAAGGCGGCUCACUGGCUCGAUACUGACGCUGAGGUGCGAAAGCGUGGGGAGCAAACA